AAUUUGUCUUUUAAUUGAAGAAUAGAAUGAACGAGUUUACCACAUGCCAAUUUUUCUUUGUGUGUCAAUAAAAAUUGAAUGUUUAGUGAAAAUGCUAAAGUGUCUCACCUAGACGAUAAGACCCUAUGAAGCUUUACCAGGGAUAAAAAAUUUGAUAUAAGGAUUAGUGCUGGAUUGAUUGGGGUAAUCAGUAAAAUAGUUAUUAGUUCAUUGUUUGACGAGUAAGAUCCUAUUAGGAAAUCGAGACAUAGCUACUCUAGGGAUAACAGCAUUAUAGUUUUAAAAGUCCUUAUUAGAAAAACUGU
rnacentral:rRNA from 1 species